rnacentral:rRNA from 1 species
AUUGAACGCUGGCGGCAUGCCUUACACAUGCAAGUCGAACGGUAACAGGUCUUCGGAUGCUGACGAGUGGCGAACGGGUGAGUAAUACAUCGGAACGUGCCUAGUAGUGGGGGAUAACUACUCGAAAGAGUGGCUAAUACCGCAUGAGAUCUACGGAUGAAAGCAGGGGAUCGCAAGACCUUGUGCUACUAGAGCGGCCGAUGGAAGAUUAGGUAGUUGGUGGGAUAAAAGCUUACCAAGCCGACGAUCUGUAGCUGGUCUGAGGGGACGAUCAGCCCAACGAGGACUGAGACACGGCCAAGACUCCUACGGGAGGAAGCAGUGGGGAAUUUUGGACAAUGGGCGCAAGCCUGAUCCAGCAAGGCCGCGUGCAGGAUGAAGGCCUUCGGGUUGUAAACUGCUUUUGUACGGAACGAAAAGCCCUGGGUUAAUACCCUGGGGUCAUGACGGUACCGUAAGAAUAAGCACCGGCUAACUACGUGCCAGCCGCCGCGGUAAGAC